UCCGGGGUAGCUCAGCAGGCAGAGCGCUCCCCUGUUAAGGGAGAUGUCGCCGGUUCGAGCCCGGCCCCCGGAGCCA
rnacentral:tRNA from 1 species